AGUGAACGCUGGCGGUAGGCCUAACACAUGCAAGUCGAACGGCAGCACAGUAAGAGCUUGCUCUUACGGGUGGCGAGUGGCGGACGGGUGAGGCAUACAUCGGAAUCUACUUUUUCGUGGGGGAUAACGUAGGGAAGCUUACGCUAAUACCGCAUACGACCUACGGGUGAAAGCAGGGGAUCUUCGGACCUUGCGCGAUUGAAUGAGACGAUGUCGGAUUAGCUAGUUGGCGGGGUAAAGGCCCACCAAGGCGACGAUCCGUAGCUGGUCUGAGAGGAUGAUCAGCCACACUGGGACUGAGACACGGUCCAGACUCCUACGGGAGGCAGCAGUGGGGAAUAUUGGACAAUGGGCGCAAGCCUGAUCCAGCCAUACCGCGUGGGUGAAGAAGGCCUUCGGGUUGUAAAGCCCUUUUGUUGGGAAAGAAAAGCAGCAGGUUAAUACCCCGCUGUUCUGACGGUACCCAAAGAAUAAGCACCGGCUAACUUCGUG
rnacentral:rRNA from 1 species